rfam:Pseudallescheria apiosperma strain IHEM 14462 SEQ_SAPIO_0066, whole genome shotgun sequence.
GGCAAGAUGCCAGAGUGGUUAAUGGGUGUGACUAGAAAUCACAUGGCUUCGGCCGCACAGGUUCGAAUCCUGUUCUUGUCG